rnacentral:rRNA from 1 species
UGGGGAAUAUUGCGCAAUGGGCGAAAGCCUGACGCAGCAACGCCGCGUGAGUGAAGAAGGCCUUCGGGUUGUAAAGCUCUGUCAGAGGGAAAGAACGGGUCUGGCAACACCAGGCUUUGACGGUACCCUCAAAGGAAGCACUGGCUAACUCCGUGCCAGCAGCCGCGGUAAUACGGAGAGUGCAAGCGUUGUUCGGAAUUAUUGGGCGUAAAGCGCGUGUAGGUGGCUCAACAAGUCUGGCGUGAAAGCCUAGGGCUCAACCCUAGAAGUGCGCUGGAAACUGUCGAGCUUGAGUACCGGAGGGGAAGGUGGAAUUCUCGAGUGUAGAGGUGAAAUUCGUAGAUAUUCGGAAGAACAUCAGUGGCGAAGGCGACCUUCUGGACGGAUACUGACACUGAGACGCGAAAGCGUGGGUAGCAAACAGG